CCCGUGUUGUCGCCCACUACGUCUUGGC
rnacentral:sRNA from 1 species